AUGUUCUCAUUUCAGCAGCAUAUAUACUAAAAUUGUAAUAAUACAGAGAAGAUUAGCAUGGCCCCUGUGCAAGGAUGACAUGCAAAUUCAUGAAGCAUUCCCUUAUUUU